UACAUGGGGUGCAAACGUUGCUCGGAAUCAUUGGGCGUAAAGCGCGCGUAGGCGGUUGCUUAAGUCGGAUGUGAAAGCCCUCGGCUUAACUGAGGAAGUGCAUCCGAAACUGAGCAGCUAGAGUACGAAAGAGGGUCGCGGAAUUCCCGGUGUAGAGGUGAAAUUCGUAGAUAUCGGGAGGAACACCGGUGGCGAAGGCGGCGACCUGGGUCGAGACUGACGCUGAGGAGCGAAAGCGUGGGUAGCAAACAGG
rnacentral:rRNA from 1 species